rnacentral:lncRNA from 1 species
CCUCGACCACUCUCUCCCAGAUCUUUAUAGAGUGACUCAAUAACUUAAUCCCCCUAUAGUUAUUGCAACUCUGAAUGUCCCCCUUAUUCUUAUAGAGAGGGAUCAUGGUACUCCACCUCCAAGCCUCGGACAUCUUUGCCGUCCUGAAGAUUUCAUUAAACAAUCCAGUCAAUCACCUUACACUAGCCUCUCCAACGAACUUCCAAAACUCCACCGGUAUCUCAUCCGACCUCGUCGCCCUACCCCUUCGCAUCCUGCGAACAGCCUGUCUAACCUCUUCUACCUUAAAAUGUCUACAAUAGCUAAAAUCCCGACACUCCUCUGAGUGUUCCAGUUCCCCUAACACAAUAGCUCUAUCCCCUUCGUCAUUCAAGAGCCUAUGAAAGUACGACUGCCAUCUAUUCUUAAUAUGGCCGUCCUCCACCAACACUCUACCGUCCUCUCCCUUAAUGCACUUCACCUGAUCGAGGUCACGACCCUUCAUCUCCCUAGCCUUAGCAAGUCUAAACAACUUUUUCUCCCCUUCUUUCCCCUGUAACCCUGUAUACAAGCUCUCAAAAGCGGUCGUCUUAGCUGUCGUGACUGCUGACUUAGCCUCCUUCCUCUCUAGCUUGUACUCUUUCCUGUUUACCCGCUUCUCCUCUUCGUCCUUACUCUCCACCAACUUAGCAUACACUCCUUUCUUGGUCCUUACUUUCUUCUCCACCUCUUCAUUUCACCACCAAUCCCCCCGAUGGUGCCCGGCCCGACCCCUAGAAACACCCAACACCUCACUUGCAUUCUCCUUGAUACACCUCGCCGCCCUAUACUACAUACUAUCCACGUCCCCCCUAUACUCCCACACCCCCAUUCCCGCCAACCUCUCCCCUAUCUCCCACGCAUUCACUGGCGUUAGGCCGCCCCACUUAAUUCUAGGUCUACACUCCUUACUCCUCCUCUUUCUAUCAUUCUUUAUACCCAAAUUCAUAACCAAGAUCCUAUGCUGGGUCGAAAGAUUCUCACUCGGGAUGACUUUACAGUCCUUACACAACGCCCUAUCCCC